rnacentral:rRNA from 1 species
UACAGAAGGUGCGAGCGUUAAUCGGAAUUACUGGGCGUAAAGGGUGCGUAGGUGGUUUUGUAAGUUAGGUGUGAAAGUCCCGGGCUUAACCUGGGGAUUGCGCCUAAUACUGCAAAGCUAGAGUACUGUAGAGGAAAGUGGAAUUUCCAGUGUAGCAGUGAAAUGCGUAGAUAUUGGAAGGAACAUCAGUGGCGAAGGCGACUUUCUGGACAGAUACUGACACUGAGGCACGAAAGCGUGGGGAGCAAACAGG